GACGAACGCUGGCGGCGUGCCUAAUACGUGCAAGUCGAGCGGAUGGAAGGGAGCUUGCUCCCGGAAGUCAGCGGCGGACGGGUGAGUAACACGUGGGCAACCUGCCCUUGAGAUCGGGAUAACUUCGGGAAACCGGAGCUAAUACCGGAUAGGUUCUUCCCUCACAUGAGGGAAGAGGGAAAGGCGGCUUCGGCUGUCACUGCAGGAUGGGCCCGCGGCGCAUUAGCUAGUUGGUGAGGUAACGGCUCACCAAGGCGACGAUGCGUAGCCGACCUGAGAGGGUGAUCGGCCACACUGGGACUGAGACACGGCCCAGACUCCUACGGGAGGCAGCAGUAGGGAAUCUUCCGCAAUGGACGAAAGUCUGACGGAGCAACGCCGCGUGAGUGAAGAAGGUUUUCGGAUCGUAAAACUCUGUUGUCAGGGAAGAACAAGUACGGGAGUAACUGACCGUACCUUGACGGUACCUGGCCAGAAAGCCACGGCUAACUACGUGCCAGCCGCCGCCGUAAGAC
rnacentral:rRNA from 1 species